UAACCAUAAGGGCACACUUAUGGAAACGUAAGGUCGCAAAGCCAGAGUCUAAAACAGUUACAUGUAGUAAUGACAGUUCGGCUGCAACA
rfam:[Eubacterium rectale] ATCC 33656 chromosome, complete genome.